UGUACUAUUCACUGUAAGUCGCUUUGGAGAAAAGCAUCUGCUAAAUGAAUAAAU
rfam:Scleropages formosus scaffold580, whole genome shotgun sequence.